UGAAUAAAAUGUACACUCAGAAAUAUUACAAAACUCCUAAAGUUUAAAUCUUAAACAUAUUUGUCAUACCCGACGUUCACGCACAGCUUAGUUUUCGAUUUAUACUAUGUUGUCAUAAUAAGUUAAACUAUGUUCGAUUUGUACGAGGGUAUUUUAGCCCAGUGUGGAUUGUGUUGAUGUUUUUAUCGCUCGCCAUGUCAGAUCCGUUCGAUCGGUUUUGUUGCUUCAGUUUUGGGAAUUUGAAAUUGCGGAAAUUUCGUAGUUAAAAUGUGUCUCAAUAUUAUCAGGCUGGGCUGAAGUGGAAUGACGAUGCUGCCGCAGCAGCUGCUUUGGGUUCCCAGCCAGCAUCAUUGGUGAAUGUGUGGUCAAAACGAGUUCACGGUAGGAAAAGACUUCCACUGCUGCUUCGAGUGCCGAACCAAAACACGCGGACCGAGCUGGAGACUGAAUUCUACCAGAACCGGCCGGUUGGAAUUGAUGCCGUUGACGGGAGAAUCAUUCAAAACAAGCAAGUACAUAAGCAACAGAAGGGAAAAAUGGAAAAACUACAACCUUCUGGACUAAACGGAACUGGUGGCGAUGGGAACCGGUUCGACAUCCAAGCUGACGGUUGCUGCAACUGUGGACGACCUAUUUUGUCGGUCGGAGGAGACGUUUAUCGGCAAGAAUAGAACGGUUUGGAAGUGGAGGAAGCACAAAAGGAGAAAAAGCACCAAUUCGGGGAGUAAAACAGUUCUGCGCCGACUUCCGGCAUUGCGUUGGCCAAGAAUCGCGAUCCGAGCAAAGAAGUUUGCUAUGAUUCGUCCAAGGUCAGUAGGAUCUGAACGUGCGCUCGUUGAAUGCUAGCUUGCCGGGAACCUAGAAAGAAAUUAGCUCGACAAGCGGAGGCCAAACUAACAUUUUCCCGACUGGUUCCUCCAGGUAACAAGUUGGCCGGCAUCGUGAGCACCAACUCCGAUCGAAGGGUUCAUCAACGACACUGGACGGGGCACAACGACACUGGGCGGCAACGACAAGCGGUAGAAGUGCAGAAACAGCAACAAAAUGCUGCGCUUUAGAAGGGAAUGUUGACUUCUGCGAUGAACGCAAAUGGAAGAUUAAGUCCGCCCGGGUUGGAUCCGCGGCCAGUAUGCUCUCGCAUGUGGGUCAAAUUAAUCUAACGGGAAGCAGAACUCCCAGCCACCAGGAGAACACCAACUUCAAUUCAAACAAAAUCAACAUCCGGCCGGGCGAUUCCGAAUGGUUUUUCACACCGGAUACCUGAGGGACCACUGGGAGACAAUCAAGCGCUGUGCGAAAAGACAUCAGCCACUUGCACGGUGGUCAACGCUGGAGGAUCUUCAUGCGGAGAAUAUUCCUGGCCUGGCGAGCUUGUGUGGGUGCUGUUUGACCAAUUGUAGCAUUGAAUAAUGUAAUCAUCAUUAAUAAAUAAAGAUGUUUUAGGGUAAAUUUA